rnacentral:lncRNA from 1 species
GAGUGAUGUCUAGGUCUUUAAUGUAAUGGGUUUGAUUCCCCUAUGUAUGGUUUUCUUUUCUUUUAACAUUUUCUUUUCUGUUUAUGCUUUAUUACUCAUAGUUUUUAUUAUUUAAUAAUAUGAUUUGUUUUUUUCUUUUAAUUGCAUCAUGCAUUCGAAACCAUUUUUUUAACUUAUAAAAAUCAUAUUUUCUCGAUUUAAUAUCGAGCCCCUUUUUCACACCCUUGUAAGUCGAUUGCUUUUUAAGCAUCGCCAUCAACCUCACAUAGCUUACUCUUGGGCUUUCUUACAAUGAGCCGGUUCUCUUGCACUUACACCCAUACUUUGCAUUAUUUAUUGUUGGGCCCGAUUUAAU